UCAAUUGUAUAUUAAAAAACCGGCAGAUAAUCUAUAAUUAGCUCCCAGGUCAAUAACUGAAUAUCUCUGGGUUAAUAUCAGCCAUCCAGUAUUUUUGGAUAUAAAUAAUAAAGUGAAGAAUGUCCUAUCCAAAGGCAGAAAUGGCAGCUGGUGCAGUACCACCAGGCCCCGCCCCUGUUGUGGCACAACCAGGAGCAGCUGCACCUGGACAAUGGGCCGCGGCAGGACAAGCCCCUCCAGGAUGUCCAAAGGGACUGGAAUAUUUGGCCAGCGUAGAUCAGUUGUUAGUUAAACAGAAAGUUGAGGCAAUAGAGGCCAUAACUGGAUUUGAAACAAACAACAGAUAUGAAAUUGUGAAUUCUCUGGGACAGAGGGUAUACCAAGCUGUAGAAGACACCUGUUGUUGUACAAGAAACUGUUGUGGAUCCACUAGACCUUUUGAUAUUAAGAUCUUAGACAAUAGAAAUACAGAAGUUAUACAUUUAUCUCGAGGCCUCAGAUGUAGUUCUUGUUGGUGUCCAUGUUGUUUACAGCGAGUGACAGUUGAAGCUCCACCUGGCCAGGUUGUAGGAUAUGUUUCCCAGGCUUGGAGUAUGUGUAAACCCAGAUUUAAGAUUGAGAAUGCUGAAGGAGAGACUGUACUGAGAAUCAAGGGACCAUGUUGUCAGUGGGAGAUGUGUGGGGAUAUUGAAUUUGAUGUACAUACAGAAGACGAAACGACCUUUGUAGGCCGCGUCACUAAACAAUGGACAGGACUGGGUAAAGAAUUGUUCACAGAUGCUGAUAACUUUGGAAUCUCUUUCCCUGUAGAUCUGGAUAUUAAAAUGAAAGCUGUUAUGAUUGGUGCAGUAUUCUUAUUAGAUUUUAUGUUCUAUGAAAAUAACAAGAAGAAGAACCAGAAAGAUGCCAAGAAGGUCAUGGGAUAAAAACAUGCCAAUAUUGGGUUACAGGAUAAAUACACACUUAUAUGGAUGUAUGAUUAAAGGCAGAUCUAGAUGAAACACUGAUGUAUCAGUUGCCUUGAGAAGAAUCUGCUGGAAGAAGAACUCAUUUAUUCUGCACAAUUUCAUGUCUUUCAAUGUAGAUUUACUUUACUUCAGUUUUGUUACUGAAUUCCUUGAAUCACUAUUAUUUUGUGAGAUGCUGUUAGAUAUAUAUCAUAAGUUUAUAUCAGUUUUACUUGUAUUGUUUCAAGUUUCUUAUCUAUUUAAACUUUAUCAUGAAAAACUUGUUGCAGCUUUUUUAAAUCAAAUAAUGAAAAUCUGAAUUGUGUUAAAAUGUCAUCUCAUGUAAAUUUCAGAUCACCAAAAAAUUUAAGGUUUAAAAGAAAAGAAAUAGAAAAAAAAUUAGAAAUCAAAAUGAACAAACCACAGAUUAAAAAGAUUUACAACUAUACGUAUAUCAUCAUGUUACAUAAUUUAACCAUGAAUCGGGCUUAAUACAUAACUGAAUAAAAAAGGGUUAUAAGCUUAUAAAUGUAAGCAUUAUUCAUGUAAUGUCGCUUAGUAAAUUUAUUUAUCCUUUGAAAAUAUGACUAUUAGCCUUAUCAUUAUAUAGAAUUGUUCACAUUGUAAUUCAUGUAAUUUUUGUAUGCCUUACUGUGAUUAACCAGUUGGUUGUUAUUUGAGAAGACAUAUAUACAAUGUAGUAUCAAGAAAUAAGGGGCAUUGAAUGUCUUAUUUAAGAAAAAUAUUCAAAUCUUAAUAGACAUUUAUUAUGAUAUUCAUUUUCACUGAACUAGUACACAUUUUAAUUUAGGGGCCAGCUGAAGACCGCCUCUGGGUGCAAGAUUUUCUAACUGCAUUGAAGACCCAUUGUUGACCUUUGGCUUCUAUCUGCUCUUUGAUUGGGUUAUUGUCUCUUUGACAUAUUUAUCAUUUCCAAUCUCAGAUUUAUGUAAUCAUAAAUGCACAAUAAUGUAUUGCUGGCAUUUGUAAUGAGUUAUAAGUUUUAUAAGAUUAAACAUGGGACAAGAUUUCUGUGAUUUCACCCAAAAAAUAUUUCAUUAAUAGUAUUAAGGGUGGCAGAUAAGAAUCCCCCUUUUGCACAUUUUUUUUAUUGAGAUAUAUUUGUUCAUCCAAUCUGUAGUUAGUUAAUCUUCAUGUAUCUGAUAGAUGUAAGCCCAUUUAAAGUCAUUA